rnacentral:rRNA from 1 species
GGAGUCUGGGCCGUGUCUCAGUCCCAAUGUGGCCGUUCACCCUCUCAGGCCGGCUACGCAUCAUCGUCUUGGUGGGCCGUUACCUCACCAACUAACUAAUGCGCCAUAAGCCCAUCCACCAGUGUUUUUAACCUUUAACAAUAUUGACAUGCGUCAUUAUUGCCUAUCCGGUAUUAGUCCCCGUUUCCAGGAAUUAUCCCAGUCUUCGUGGGCAGGUUGCUUAUGUAUUACUCACCCGUUCGCCUCUCCUUCAUUCAAGCAAGCUUGAAUUCCAGCGAUCGACUUGCAUGUAUUAGGCACGCCGCCAGCGUUUAUC